UAUAAGUGUACCAAUAUAUAAACAAUAAUAGCAAUAACAAUAUGUAGCAACAUAAAAAUCCGGUUUUAACAAAGUUAGGAAAAAAGUGACUUUUUUUUUAAACAUCAUGGUACAAUGGUUAGAGAGCUAGACUCCACAUUCAAUGAUCUCGAAAAAGCUGGUACGAUUGUAAUCAUUAAUUAAUUAUUGGUAAAAAAGAUGGCUGGAAAUAAAAUGUUAUACGUUCUUGAUGACGCUAUUUUGAGAAAUAACCUCUCUGUUCCUUGGAUUCCUUGAAGAAAAUAAAGAUAACUGGUUUUAGAAUUGCUGUAUUUUGAGAUUUAAACGUUUUAUAAAUACCACAGGAGGAGGAUGAGAGACUUGCGAGAGAAGAAAUUUCAAAACGCAAGGAGUUAUAAUAUCUUAGCUACGCUAUUAUAAUUCCUUGCAAAACGCGAAAGCUAAACUAAAAAGAUGUGAACUAUGAAAGACACUUUACGAAUUUUGAAAAUUGCCUUGGUAUUUUUAUUGGAUAAGAAUUAAAACAAGAACGGAAAACAAAACAAUUAUCAAUUAUCCUUAAUU